ensembl:rRNA 5S_rRNA 5S ribosomal RNA
GUCUACAGCCAUACCACCCUGAAUGUGCCCGAUGUAGUCUGAUCUUGGAAGCUAAGCAGGGUCGGGCCUGUUUAGUACUUGGAUGGGAGAAUUUUGGAGAUGGCUAUUGAGGAAGCAGCAUGUUUUGUAGCAC